rnacentral:rRNA from 1 species
GAAUAUUGGACAAUGGGGGGAACCCUGAUCCAGCCAUGCCGCGUGUGUGAAGAAGGCGUUUUGGUUGUAAAGCACUUUAAGCGAGGAGGAGGCUACUCUAGUUAAUACCUAGAGCUAGUGGCCGUUACUCGCAGAAUAAGCACCUGCUAACCCUGUGCCAGCCUCCGCGGUAAUCCAGAGGGUGCAAGCGUUAAUCGGAUUUACUGGGCGUAAAGCGCGCGUAGGUGGCCAAUUAAGUCAAAUGUGAAAUCCCCGAGCUUAACUUGGGAAUUGCAUUCGAUACUGGUUGGCUAGAGUAUGGGAGAGGAUGGUAGAAUUCCAGGUGUAGCGGUGAAAUGCGUAGAGAUCUGGAGGAAUACCGAUGGCGAAGGCAGCCAUCUGGCCUAAUACUGACACUGAGGUGCGAAAGCAUGGGGAGCAAACA